rnacentral:snRNA from 1 species
GUGCUUGCUUCGGCAGCACAUACACUAAAAUUGGAACGAUACAGAGAAGAUUAGGAUGGUCCCUGCACAAGGAUGACACACAAAUUCGUGAAGCAUUCCAUAAAAAA